GAUGAACGCUGGCGGCGUGCCUAAUACAUGCAAGUCGAGCGAACAGACGAGGAGCUUGCUCCUCUGACGUUAGCGGCGGACGGGUGAGUAACACGUGGAUAACCUACCUAUAAGACUGGGAUAACUUCGGGAAACCGGAGCUAAUACCGGAUAAUAUAUUGAACCGCAUGGUUCAAUAGUGAAAGACGGUUUUGCUGUCACUUAUAGAUGGAUCCGCGCCGCAUUAGCUAGUUGGUAAGGUAACGGCUUACCAAGGCGACGAUGCGUAGCCGACCUGAGAGGGUGAUCGGCCACACUGGAACUGAGAUACGGUCCAGACUCCUACGGGAGGCAGCAGUAGGGAAUCUUCCGCAAUGGGCGAAAGCUUGACGGAGCAACGCCGCGUGAGUGAUGAAGGUCUUCGGAUCGUAAAACUCUGUUAUUAGGGAAGAACAAAUGUGUAAGUAACUAUGCACGUCUUGACGGUACCUAAUCAGAAAGCCACGGCUAACUACGUG
rnacentral:rRNA from 1 species